rnacentral:rRNA from 1 species
UACGUAGGGUGCGAGCGUUAAUCGGAAUUACUGGGCGUAAAGGGUGCGCAGGCGGCUUCGCAAGUCAGACGUGAAAUCCCCGAGCUUAACUUGGGAAUUGCGUUUGAAACUACGGAGCUGGAGUGUGGCAGAGGGAGGUGGAAUUCCACGUGUAGCGGUGAAAUGCGUAGAGAUGUGGAGGAACACCGAUGGCGAAGGCAGCCUCCUGGGCCAGCACUGACGCUCAUGCACGAAAGCGUGGGGAGCAAACAGG